AGAACGAACGCUGGCGGCAGGCUUAACACAUGCAAGUCGAACGCUCGUAGCAAUACGGGAGUGGCAGACGGGUGAGUAACACGUGGGAACAUCCCCCUCGGUUCGGAAUAACUCAGGGAAACUUGAGCUAAUACCGGAUACGUCCGAGAGGAGAAAGAUUUAUCGCCGAGGGAUUGGCCCGCGUCUGAUUAGCUAGUUGGUGAGGUAACGGCCCACCAAGGCGACGAUCAGUAGCUGGUCUGAGAGGAUGACCAGCCACACUGGGACUGAGACACGGCCCAGACUCCUACGGGAGGCAGCAGUGGGGAAUUUGCGCAAUGGGGGAAACCCUGACGCAGCAACGCCGCGUGGAGGAUGAAGCCCUUGGGGCGUAAACUCCUUUCGAUCGGGAAGAUAAUGACGGUACCGGAAGAAGAAGCCCGGCUAACUUCGCGCCAGCAGCCGC
rnacentral:rRNA from 1 species